UGGAGGCAGCAGUAAGGAAUAUUGGACAAUGGAGGCAACUCUGAUCCAGCCAUGCCGCGUGAAGGAUGAAGGCGCUCAGCGUUGUAAACUUCUUUUGAAUGGGAACAGAUGGCCCGACGUGUCGGGUCUUGAGGGUACCAUUAGAAUAAGCACCCGCUAACUCCGUGCCAGCAGCCGCGGUAAUACGGAGGGUGCAAGCGUUAUCCGGAAUCACUGGGUUUAAAGGGUGCGUAGGCGGUCUUAUAAGUCAGUCGUGAAAUCGUUGGGCUUAACCCAUACAAUUGCGAUUGAUACUGUUUGACUUGAAUCAGGUUGAGGUCGGCGGAAUGUGACAUGUAGCGGUGAAAUGCUUAGAUAUGUCAUAGAACACCGAUUGCGAAGGCAGCUGGCUGGGCCUGAAUUGACGCUGAGGCACGAAAGCGUGGGGAGCAAACAGGAUUAGAUACCCCUGUAGUCG
rnacentral:rRNA from 1 species